GUCCAGUAUCAUACACAUUGGGGACAGAGUGAGGAUCAAGACAGAUAAGUUUCAAUUCUCAAGGAGCCUACAGUCAAGAGUGAGAAUUGUUUUAUGAUUAAGAGUGAGGAUAGAGGCUUUAAAAGGCAGGGUGGAAAUUCAGAUUUAACAUUUACAGUUUUAACUAUUUUGAAGCUACUCUACAGGUCCUUUGUAUGUACACAAGUUUAUAAUCGCCUUGAGAUAUACAUUUUAAUUGAGGAUGUUGGUAUGUGGAGUGAAUCACUCACUUACUUUCUUAUUCACUGAACUACUGUUUGUUGUGCGUUUACUAUAUGCCGAUCAAGCACCUAAAAGGUCUAGCCAGCCGUACAUAUAUUCCAAUACUGCUUUGUGUGUUUCUAUUUUCAUGACUUUAUCCAAUUACUCCUUAGUGUGAUAUUAGCAGUUUCAGAGAUGCGGAGGUAAUUUUGAGAUCUGGUCUACAUUCUGUCAUAUAUUUCAAUCCUUAAAAGGAUAUUUAACAUGAAAAGUUUAUUAGGUCUGAUACACUAUUUCUAUUGCUUGAUUCUCGAAUUAUUUGAAUGGUUUCACAUAUUCUCUUGGUUUAUUUUUUCCCAGCACCUGGAAUACCAUCUUUUGUGUUCAUUUGAAUCAAACUGAAUUAAAUUCUAUUAAAAGGUCCUGAAUUCUUUAGCUCCCUAAUUUCUCUGUUGGUGUAGAAAGCUUACUAUAUGGGGUGUGUGCUUAUAAACAUAAAGCUUGCUACAACUCUAAAAUUUUUUAUAAUUGUGGGGUUCCUGGAUGGCUCAAUUGGUUAAGCCUCUAGCUCUUGGUUUCAGUUCAGCUCAUGAUCUCAUGAGUCCUGGGAUCAAAGCCCAUCCUGGGCUCCAUACUCAGCAGAGUUGGCUUCAGAUUCUUUCUUCCUCUCCUCCCCCCUCUGCUCCUCCUCUUCUGCUCUUCCCUGCUCAUUCAUGCUCUCUCAUAAAUAAAUAAAUAAAUAAAUAAAUAAAUAAAUAAAUAAAUAAAUAAAUACAUUCUUUAAAAUCUUUUAAAAUUGAGACCAGAAUACCAGAUACUAUGAUGAUCUAUGGAUUUGAUAUAUAUUUAAACUUGAUAGAGUAUACAAGAGGGUAUGUGUGAUCUCUUAUGUAUUAAAAUCAGCUGAGUAAUUCUGAAGGCAAUGGAUAGAUUCAAAUAGAUUUGUUAUUUGAAACACUGAACCUUCCUGUUUUGCUAGAUUUUUCCCUGAGGAAAGCUAAGUCUAUUAAUUUUCAAGGAACAGGGUCAUUUAGAUUUAUAUUCUCUGCGCUCAACUGAAUAGUACAAAUAAUCUUGUUAGAUAGAAAUAAAAUAUUAACUUCAAAAGAUGGCCUUUAAAACACCAUAAUUCUCUAAUCUAGGACAUGCAUUUAUUUUAUUGUUAUAACAUUUCUAAAAUUAGGAAGUAUCUUGCAAUUGAUUUAUGUUUUUGGUUUUAUUUUUUUGGACUUGUGUUUCUUAGUGCUUUCUUUUUCUCUUCUUUCCUUCCCUCCCAAAAGUUACUAUUAAAUUAAAUUGCUAUUAAAUUAUAUCUAUAACUGAUGGUAUAUUAAAGUGGAAUAAUAAUGUAAAUCAAAUGGAAUAUGAGAUGAUCAAUUUUUAUUUCAUUUCAAUUCCAUGAAUGAUAUGUAAUUCAAAAGACAAAUUGAGCAGCUAUUCCUAUGGAUUAAUGGCAUUUCAUUAACAUUUCCAAUUUCUCACAAUUUUAGCAAAUUACAGAAUUUUGGUUAAUCACAGGUCUCUAUAAUCUUUACGUACACCCUGGAUUUUAUGAAAAUGUGUUAAAAAUAUCACAUUGAAAAUAUUUACUCUUAACUUUAUUCAACAAUUGUGUGUUGGUAAUAAAACAUUUUGCUUACACCCUUAGCAUAAUUCUUGGUGCUGUGCAAGCACUCAAUGAAUAUUUGGGAAAUAAUUGGCUAAAACAGUGAAUGCUUAAUAUAUUUCAAAAUGAGCUAAAAAUCUUAACUGGAGCAUAUGAUUAAAUUAUAUGAACAUAAUAAAAUAAAAGCAGAAAGAUGUAGCAAAUUCAGGUUGUCAAUUUGAAUCAGAAAUCUGACUCUUGGUAUGCCUGGAUGACUCAGGGGUUGAGCAUCUGCCUUUAGCUCAGGUCAUGAACCUGGGAUCCGGGACCAAGUGCCGCAUCAGGCUCCUUGCAUGGAGCCUGUUUCUCCCUCUGUCUAUGUCUCUGCCUCUCUGUCUGUGGGUGUCUCUCAUGAAUAACUAAAUAAAAUAACAAUAAUAAAAAAUCUGACUCUCAUUGUUUAACGAUAAUAACUAUAGUAAUAACUAAUAGAAACUGGAAAAAUUUUAGGUGUAGUCAUUGAAUAUGUGCAAAUAUAUGCAAUUUUGUGACUAUACGUUCAAAAUGUUGCUUUCAAGACACUGACAAUGUAAUAAAAAUGAAGGGCUUUUGAAAAUGGAACUUACAUCUGGCCUCUUCUGAAAAUGUUUGAAUGUUAUUUAUUUUCACAAAAUUAUAUGAUUUAUAAAUAAUUUAAAAAUGAACCCACAUGAUUAUUUUUCAUUAUAUGUGAUAUCUUGGUUCUACCUGUAUCAAGCAUUUGUGAAAACCUUGGAGUUUGCUAAAAAUCAGGGGAGAUAUAGAUGAGUCUUCAAAGCAAAUUAGUUUUAAUUUACUUAAAUACAUGUAGGUAUACAUAUAUAUGUGUGCAUGUUUACGUCUAUGUGUAUAUUUUGUAAAUCAAGUAGCUAUGUAAGAAUGUAACUUUCCUUAAUUUUUUUUUUUGUAAGUCAAAUGCAUUCCAACUUUCAACCUGCUAAAGUGGAGAAAGUUUCAUCUUCAUCAAUUUAGAAUUGCUUAAGACACACCACACAGUCAUUUCUUCUGGGGUCUUGAGCCCUCGUCCCAAAGCCCUUCCUGGGAUAGAACAUGAGGCCCUCCUCUCUCAAGAUAAUAAUUUUUUCUUUACCUUCCCUCUGCUCUUCAAGAAAAAGAGAGUUUCUCAGACAAGCCUUUCUUUCCAACUUCCAGGGACCAUAUUCUUGCACUUCUCUCCUCUCCCCAGAUCCAUAGGUUAUUUCUAAUGUUUUCCCAUGUCUGUUGCUCCACCAAGUAUUUCUCCCAAACAUUUUGUCUACUUCAGGAAUACUUUCAGCUCCUUAGAUCUAAGAGCUUAAGCUUUAGAAGCCAGCAUCAAAAGGAAGUCUAUACCAUGCUUUUCAUCCUUCACAUCCCUCUUCCAAAGCAUUCAGAACAGAGUAGCCUAAUUACAUAUGACCAAAAAGGUCAACAUUUUCUUAAAGAAAGGAAGAAAAUUUACCAGGUCAAAUGUUAUUCUACUGCAUAGGUACUGAUAUUUUGUAGGGAUGGGUCAUUUUCAGUUUCAAUUUUUAUUUCUAUUCGGUAAAUAUCCAGUGAUUGAUUGUAGUGUCCACCCCAAAGAUUUUUGGAGUUCCCAUAUAAAAUAAGAAGAUCUUGAGUCAUUCUUUAUUGUCAUAUUGGGAUAGAAGGUAAGAAUCUUUAGAGAAAUGAUCUCUCCUAUGAUAAUUGGCAGAAUAAUAAAGUAGGACUGUCUAACGGUGAGUCUUAAUUUAUUUUUAAAAAUUUAAAGAAUGCUGAAAACUAGAGGAAACUUAUGAAUUAUACACAAUAACUAUUAUCUCUUGCAUUUAUUGCUGUAAUGUUGAGAGAGAGAAGUAAUUCACUCCAAGGGCACAGCCUGUUAGAGGCAGUCAGAACUGUUUAACACUCAUAUCAGGAUUCUGUUAGAUGUCUGGGACUGUUCUAGGCACUUAGCAUGUAUAUACAAAA
rnacentral:lncRNA from 1 species